rnacentral:rRNA from 1 species
UACAGAGGUCCCAAGCGUUGUUCGGAUUCACUGGGCGUAAAGGGUGCGUAGGUGGCCAGGUAAGUCUGACGUGAAAUCUCCGAGCCUAACUCGGAAACUGCGUCGGAUACUAUCCGGCUCGAGGGUUGGAGGGGGGACUGGAAUACUUGGUGUAGCAGUGAAAUGCGUAGAUAUCAAGUGGAACACCAGUGGCGAAGGCGAGUCCCUGGACAACUCCUGACACUGAGGCACGAAAGCUAGGGGAGCAAACAGG